GCUAAAUACUCCUGACUGACCGAUAGUGAACCAGUACCGUGAGGGAAAGGCGAAAAGAACCCCGGCGAGGGGAGUGAAAAAGAACCUGAAACCGUGUACGUACAAGCAGUGGGAGCCUCUUAAUGGGGUGACUGCGUACCUUUUGUAUAAUGGGUCAGCGACUUAUAUUCUGUAGCAAGGUUAACCGAAUAGGGGAGCCGAAGGGAAACCGAGUCUUAACUGGGCGUUAAGUUGCAGGGUAUAGACCCGAAACCCGGUGAUCUAGCCAUGGGCAGGUUGAAGGUUGGGUAACACUAACUGGAGGACCGAACCGACUAAUGUUGAAAAAUUAGCGGAUGACUUGUGGCUGGGGGUGAAAGGCCAAUCAAACCGGGAGAUAGCUGGUUCUCCCCGAAAGCUAUUUAGGUAGCGCCUCGUGAAUUCAUCUCCGGGGGUAGAGCACUGUUUCGGCAAGGGGGUCAUCCCGACUUACCAACCCGAUGCAAACUGCGAAUACCGGAGAAUGUUAUCACGGGAGACACACGGCGGGUGCUAACGUCCGUCGUGAAGAGGGAAACAACCCAGACCGCCAGCUAAGGUCCCAAAGUCAUGGUUAAGUGGGAAACGAUGUGGGAAGGCCCAGACAGCCAGGAUGUUGGCUUAGAAGCAGCCAUCAUUUAAAGAAAGCGUAAUAGCUCACUGGUCGAGUCGGCCUGCGCGGAAGAUGUAACGGGGCUAAACCAUGCACCGAAGCUGCGGCAGCGACACUAUGUGUUGUUGGGUAGGGGAGCGUUCUGUAAGCCUGUGAAGGUGGCCUGUGAGGGUUGCUGGAGGUAUCAGAAGUGCGAAUGCUGACAUAAGUAACGAUAAAGCGGGUGAAAAGCCCGCUCGCCGGAAGACCAAGGGUUCCUGUCCAACGUUAAUCGGGGCAGGGUGAGUCGACCCCUAAGGCGAGGCCGAAAGGCGUAGUCGAUGGGAAACAGGUUAAUAUUCCUGUACUUGGUGUUACUGCGAAGGGGGGACGGAGAAGGCUAUGUUGGCCGGGCGACGGUUGUCCCGGUUUAAGCGUGUAGGCUGGUUUUCCAGGCAAAUCCGGAAAACCAAGGCUGAGGCGUGAUGA
rnacentral:rRNA from 1 species